rnacentral:rRNA from 1 species
CACGUAGGGGGCGAGCGUUGUCCGGAUUCAUUGGGCGUAAAGGGCGCGCAGGCGGCCCGGAAAGUCGGAUGUGAAAACUCGGGGCUCAACCCCGAGCGUGCACCCGAUACUGCCGGGCUUGAGGCAGGUAGGGGAGAUCGGAAUUCCUGGUGUAGCGGUGAAAUGCGUAGAUAUCAAGAGGAACACCUGAGGUGAAGACGGGUUGCUGGGCUGACACUGACGCUGAGGCGCGAAAGCCAGGGGAGCAAACGGG